GUUCGCAGGAAAAGAGGGAAACGACAUCGGCAGGGAGACGCGAGAGUUCGCUCGUUGAUGACUCGGUUGACUGAAGCAGGAAGGGGCUUUGCGAAAGAGGUAGAGAAGCCAAAGCAAAGCAGAGAAGCCCUCCUUAACACGCCUCUGCUUUGAGAAGCCAAAGCGAAAUGGAGAGAGCACCGUCGUGCCUUCUUCUCCACUCCUCUCUCUUUUGUGGGUGGCGGUGGUAGCAGUGGUAAUACUGCUAACCGUGAUAGCCUCACCAAGGCCCCCUCCGCCGCCUGCCGAGAACGUCCUCCAUCGCUGCUGGAUCUGCACCCUCCCUCCCUUCUCCACUGUCUCUCGGGUUUCGAUCUCCCCGUGUCCUUCCUCUCGUCUUGAGAAAUUAGGGUCUUGGAAGGCCACCGCCUUUAGCUGCUUGGAUCAAGAAAGGUUGCUGCUUUUUCUUUGGUUCCCCGUGAUUUCUUGGUCGACGAUGAAGCGGCCGGGAUCAUCCUCGUACGGGGAUGAUUUCGACGACGAUGACGGUAUAGGCGGGAGGAUGAGCUUCAAGGACUGGCCGAGGAGGAAUCAAGAUCCCGACCGCUCGUCGUCGUCGUCGCACCGGCGACUCUCCUACUCGAAGACGGAGGGUCCGCGGAAGGUGGCGCCCUCCUCGUCGUCCUAUGGUCGGUCGCUCGACGACGACUGGGAACCGGCACGGCACACCCGGAGACGUUAUGAUCAUGAGCUGGAGUCCUUAGAUUGGCGGAAGGGCCACAGUCGGUACAGGGUUGGUGGUGAUCGAAUGAUGCAGGUCUCGUCGCCGAGGGUCUCGUAUGGGGGCGACCUGAUGCACCGUUCAGAGAGCUUCUCGGGGCUGAGAAGGGACGUCCCGAAGGGUUUCAGGUCGGAGAGGGACCGGUUGAGGAGGGACGGGAAUGGUAGCUCGUCGUGGUGGAGAUCGAGAAGCUCGAAGGAGCUCAGUGUUGAGGAAGUGCCGAAAUCGCCGUCGAUUGAUUCGGAUUCAGUGGGGAGACGGAGUCAUGCUACGUCGCCAGAUGAUCAUAGAGGGAAAGUGAGGUCCAAGGACUCCUCGAGUGGGCUGCGAUCUACAAGAGUCGAGGCAAAGACCGUAAAGACAGUGAAGCCAAUCAGAGAAGGUGGCAACAGUAGCGAGAUGGAAGAGGGAGAGCUCGAACCGGAUCUGGUGUCAGAAGCAGAACCUGUAGCUGAACCUUCCAUGGGUAGCAAGACAGCAACUGGAGUGGAAUCAAAGAACUGCAAGGACAGAAAUCCAGAGUACAAUAGUCUUCCUGAAGAAGUAUCAAAGGAGAUCUUAUUAAGUGGAAAGAUGUUGGACAUUCAUGGUAAUGGUUCUCUUGCUGUAAAGGAAGAAGGAAAGUUAACAGAAGUCAUAAUGGACACAGGAAAUACUAGUGAUGAGAUAAAAAAUGAACAGUGUGAUGCUACGAAGGAGCUCGAUGAGAGUAGCAAGUUAACUUAUCCAAUAAACAUGAGUGACCAGGUAAGCAAUGACCGAUGUGAUGCUGUUAAGGAGUUGAGUGAGAGUAGCAGGGAUGGUGAGAGUAGCAGGGAAGGAGAGCAAAAAACUAAGCGCACUAAUGGGAAUAAUGAACUGGAGGAUAAAUUUUGUGGAAAGAAGUGUGCUGCUGUCAACAAGCUGGUUGAGAGUAGGAGGGGAGGUGAAGGAACAACUAAGGAUUCUAUUGGAGAUACCGAGGUGGAAGUUAAAUUUUGUGGGAAGCAGGAAGUCUGUAAAGAAGAAACCUUGUGCUCACAGUUUCAAGGGGAAAAACUGGAAGGCAAUGAUGAAGAGCAGGCAAUUGAAGAAGCAGCAAAAGAGAUGACAUCUGCUAUUUCCCCUUGGCAUGAAGAGAAGUUAGUGGAGAAUAAGGAAGAAGCCAAACAUAAUGAAACUAUAGUUGAAAUCGAGCAGGCAGUCGAGGAAGAAGUGAAAGAGAUGACGUCUAUUAUUUCCCCUUCGCAGGAAGAAAAGUUAGCAGAGAGUAAGGAAGAAGCCCAAUCCAGUGAAGCUAAAGUUGAAACCGAAGAGAAGCAUGAGAUGGGUAAUGAACAAGGUAUGGAAACUGAAGUUAAUUUUCAAGAAAGAUUUGAAACUGCCAUAGGGCUUAAAGUUGAGCAGAAAGAACAAAGAGGUACUGAUCUUGAGACUCAACCAAACGGUGCUGUUAGCUUGUUAGAUCAAAUUAAGGAAGUUACUUGUGAGACUAACCAUGAGCUAGUGACGCUGGCGCUUAUGAGUAACCGCCAGAACAGGGAGAACUACAAGGGAAAAGGUAAGGGGCUCGCAAUUUCUCUCUUAACUAAAGGGGAUCUUGUAGAAGAUGAUUGUGCCAUGGAGGGCCCUAGUGGAAGAGACCUCGAGUUGAUUUUCAGAUCUGACAUUAGCCAGGCAGAUAAAGCAAGCUCAAGUACGCUUGUCCCCCACGCUCUUGCAGAUGAGAAACUCAAAAUUGAACCUCUUGAUCUCUCUCUUGCUCUGCCAGGUGGUUUAUUGGAUCAUUCUUCAAAACAGUCAAAGCCAAAACCUGAAAUCCCAAGCUGUGCUAGGAGCAUCCAGUCUUUUCCAUCCUCAUUCAGAACAAAUUCAGAUGGAUUUGAAACUUCCAUGUCAUUUACAAGCUCUCAACCCUUCGUUCAUAAUCCCAGUUGUUCUCUCACUCAAAAUUCGUUGGACAAUUGUGAGCACUCUGUUGGUAGCCAUCCUAUAUUACAAGGAAUGGAUCAGGUUUCUGGUGGUCUGAUAUGGCAGGCUCAGGCUUCAAAUGACUCUAGAAGGAAAGGAUCUAGCUCUUUCUUCCAAAGGGUACUUAUGAAUGGUAAUUCUGCACAUGAUUCACAUCAUAUCAUGAAUGCCGAUCAUCAGUCAAAGUCCAGUGGCUUAGUCCAGCAGUCAAGCCUUUCAAGACAGAUGUCCCUGAUGAACAGCCAUGGUUCUCAUGAUAUGACAUCUCAACUUAACAAGGAUAAGAAGCUGCUCGCUGGGGAGAGAAGUAGCAGCAUUGUGUGUAGGACCGAGCAACAGGAUAGCGAGCAGCUUGUACUUAAUGGUUCUUGUGUCAUGGAGAAAAUUCUCUCUAAAAUUGUGGUAGAACCUUUAUAUCUUACUGGAAGAAUGCUUCAGGAAAUGACAGAUCAUUCAGUAGCAUACUUGAGGGAAUCCAUUUCGGAGAUGCUGGCUAAUACAAAUAAAAGAAGGCAGCUGUAUGAAUUUCAGGAGGAGCUUCGAAGGAGGUCUGACAUGACGAUGGAUACAUUAAUCAACUGUCCUCAAGUCCUACUACAGAUCCUGGUGGCAAUAAAAACAGGUCUUCCUGAUUUUAUUCAGGGAACAUCUAAUUUGUCAUCCUCCAGUUUGGUUGAGAUCUUCCUGAACUUGAAGUGCAGGAAUCUUGCUUGUCGGAGUUCCUUGCCAGUGGAUGAUUGUGAUUGCAAAGUUUGCAUAGAGAAAACUGGCUUUUGCAGUGCUUGCAUGUGUUGUGUGUGUUCCAAAUUUGAUAAUGCAUCAAAUACUUGUAGUUGGGUUGGUUGUGAUGUAUGCCUCCAUUGGUGUCACACAGACUGCGGAUUACGUUAUUCUCAUAUUAGAAAUGGAAGUAGUGCCUCAGGGGAAGGGAUUAGUGAGAUGCAAUUUCACUGUGUUUCUUGUCACCAUCCUUCGGAGAUGUUUGGUUUUUUUAAGGAGGUUUUUCAAACCUGCGCCAAGGAUUGGAAAGCAGAGACUCUUGCUAAGGAGCUUCAAUAUGUCAGAAGGAUCUUUUCCACCAGUAAUGAUAGACGGGGUAAAAGAUUACAUGAAUUGGUCCAUAAGAUGCUGCUGAAUCUGGAGAAGAAAGUUAAUCAUUCUGAAGUUGUUAUUCACAUUUUGACAUUCCUUUCUGAUAGUGAAUCUAACAUUGGCAGCUUCCUCUGCACACCCAAGGAGCCAUCCAAAAAUAAGGCUGGCCAUUGCAAUGCUAUAGCUUGCUCAAGCAAAGACUGCUUGCCAUCUGUCUUGCCAGAAAAGGCCUCCCUUCUUGCAAAUUCAGGUCUUGUUUUAAGCAUGGACUGUGACCAGGUUGGUAAGAAAGCUAGGGACAUUGAGCUACGUCUUGAGAAGAAACCAGUUAGUGAUGAGCUGGAGAGUCUCAUAAUGUUCAAACAAGCAGAGGGCAAAAUGUACCAAGAACGUGCUGAUGAUGCAAGGAGAGAAGUGGAGAGCCUAAAACACAUAGCGAUAGCAAAGAAUAUUAAGAUCGAUGAAGACUACGAUGGUCGACUUAAAAAACUACGACUGGGUGUGUUAGAGGAAAGGCGUAGACAAAAGUUUGAAGAUCUACAAGCUGCUGAAAAGGCAUACCGGGAGUUUUUCAACAUGAAGAUGCGGAUGGAAGUUGAUAUCAAAGAUCUCUUAUUAAAAAUGGAAGCUACCAAACAGAGCCUAAAUACAUGAUUGGAAUUCAAAGGCCAACACUUUCGGAUAGUUGGCUCUCUUGUUAGAUUACUGCAGUGAUAGGUCACCUGCAUAUGUAGGAAUCUUCCACUAAAGUUUAUCAUAAUCAAGGGGUUUGGAAGUCAAACAUUCUGCACAUACGAGUAUUCUGAGGUUCCUCAGAGCUGUGUUCAAGCAGAUGCACUGAGUACUGCUAUCUUUUGAUCUCCCAAACAUGUUCAGGUAACAAUCCAUUGUCUUCCAAUCUGGAUGUCCUUCAGCAAUUAAAUCUUAAGUUUCUGAGUCUGUUCAAGAUUAAUUUAGUCAAGAAGUUAUAUCAUAAUUUUUUGUAAAUCUGAGACUAGCUGAAGUUUCUCAUGAUCAGAUUCCUUGGCAUCCAUUUCCAAUAUCCAUCAUAAGUUGUAGUCACCUGAAGGAAUCGCUAUGCUAAAAGUAUUUUGGUCCUAUUAACAUCAGAUUGGCUGAUCCUUGAAGCAAAUACCUAGCAUGUCACUGUUCUAGUUAUUAUGGAAUUGUCAUCAACCUGGCCACAUAGCUAAAUUGAUGUGCCUGCAAAAUGAGGUUGCAAUAAAUAUUAGUAUAUUACCACAAGCAUAAGCAUUGUACUUCCACAUUUUUGCUGCAAAUAGUUGUUUUAUGGAUCAACUAUCAAAUGAUUGGAAAAACCUUAUGAAUUCUUGUUCUUUAUGAGUAGUGGUCGCAGUUUUAUCACUGAUUUGAAGCUUGUUCACAGAUUUUUUCUUAGCCUUCCAAACCACAUGUACAUGCAGAGCUUGUUGUGCUGCUGGAUCAGUUGAGGGCAGUCAAUCAUUCCUUCAACACAUGGAACCCUUCAGUGAAACAUGGCGGAACAUGGAUUUCACAGCUCAUCAACAUCACUGGGUUGGAGAACAACGUGCUGCAAAUAAAGUAAGUUUGCAUCAUAGAAUACGAUUCAAGUCAGGUGCUGUCAAGACAAUGUUAAUAUAGAUUAUGAUAAGAUGUUUGCUGGUUUAGCCAGUAAGACUUCUAACUAUUGAUUACAAGAUUUGGCAGCAAAUCCAGUUCUAUAUCUGCAAAAGGUGUAUUGUUCCUGUUGUAGGUGUAGGUGACAUACACGAGAACUCCUUAUCCAUGUCUUCAAUAUCAUGAUCCCAUCCUAGGAAUCGCCAUCAUCCACAGAGGAGGCCACUCUGAGGACUCCUCUUGAAGCCAUAAUGUAUACAAGAACAGUGCCUGACUUGCCAUGUGUUUUGAGAACUUGUACUUUAACAUUCUUAGAGCAUAUCUCUACAGAGAGAGCUGAGAAGGGAUCGAGAUCGGAUCAAGUACAGUGUUGUGCCGCAGCCAGAUCUUGACGUCGGCCACCAGUAAGCCCUCCUCCACCACCUGCACAGAGAGCAUCUCUCACAUAGUACGUGAGAGAGACAGGAGAAGCAUCAUGCCAUCUCUACUAUCGUGGAAGCGUGGUAGCUGUCGAAAGGGGCAGCCCCAAAGGGGAAGGUAUGCAUGUGUCUGUAUUGGUAGAAACUAUCUCAAAUCAGGUCAUGCAUGUAUUUAUAUGUAUAUGUACCAAACUAUGUUAGUUUGUGUAUCUUGUGAUGUGGUCAACUUGAUUGCACGAGAAAAAUUCAAGCUUUGUGUAUGAAUUUUGGUCACCAAAUGCAUUACUUAAUGGCUUAUCCUUCUAGUCA